rnacentral:rRNA from 1 species
GUAGGGUGCGAGCGUUAAUCGGAAUUACUGGGCGUAAAGCGUGCGCAGGCGGUUUUGUAAGCCAGAUGUGAAAUCCCCGGGCUUAACCUGGGAAUGGCAUUUGGGACUGCAAGGCUGGAGUGUGGCAGAGGAGACUGGAAUUCCUGGUGUAGCAGUGAAAUGCGUAGAUAUCAGGAGGAAUACCGAUGGCGAAGGCAGGUCUCUGGGCUGACACUGACGCUCAUGCACGAAAGCGUGGGGAGCAAACAGGAUUAGAUACCCUGGUAGUCCACGCCCUAAACGAUGUCGACUGGUAGUUGGGGGUUUGACACUCUCAGUAACGAAGCUAACGCGUGAAGUCGACCGCCUGGGGAGUACGGCCGCAAGGUUA